rnacentral:rRNA from 1 species
UACAGAGGUCUCAAGCGUUGUUCGGAUUCAUUGGGCGUAAAGGGCGCGUAGGCGGCGGGGUAAGUCGGGUGUGAAAUCUCAGGGCUCAACCCUGAAACUGCACUCGAUACUGCUCUGCUUGAGGACUGGAGAGGAGACUGGAAUUCACGGUGUAGCAGUGAAAUGCGUAGAUAUCGUGAGGAAGACCAGUGGCGAAGGCGGAUCUCUGGACAGCUCCUGACGCUGAGGCGCGAAGGCUAGGGGAGCAAACGGG